rnacentral:rRNA from 1 species
UACGUAGGGGGCGAGCGUUGUCCGGAUUCAUUGGGCGUAAAGGGUGCGUAGGCGGUCGUGCAAGUCGGAUGUGAAAUCUCAGGGCUCAACCCUGAAACUGCAUUCGAUACUGCGUGGCUAGAGUGCUGGAGAGGAGACUGGAAUUUACGGUGUAGCAGUGAAAUGCGUAGAUAUCGUAAGGAAGACCAGUGGCGAAGGCGAGUCUCUGGACAGCAACUGACGCUGAGGCACGAAGGCCAGGGGAGCAAACGGG